rnacentral:misc_RNA from 1 species
AAGAGACGUUUGCCCUCCGGGGUAUACCUCCCACCCUUUGUUUAUUAUACCUUUGUUGCUUUGGCGGGCCCGUCCUCGGACCACCGGCUUCUGCUGGUCAGUGCCCGCCAGAGGACCUAAAACUCUGUUUGUUAAUAUUGUCUGAGUACUAUAUAAUAGUUAA